UGGUGGAAAUGCUGACUGGUGCAGCCCCACUGUGGAAAACAGUAUGGAGGUUCCUCAUAAAAGUAAAAAUGGAACUACCAUUUAACCCUGUGA